GUCAAAUAUAAUUUGUUCAAGGGAUAAUUUGGGGGAUAUUAAAUGGUACAAGUAAUUAUAAUUAUUGCAUAAAACCCGGAAAGGUUCAUGCUGGGAGUAGUUUGAUCUACAUGUGGAUAAUCUGAUGGGGCGGAAAGUACGGGUUGGUCUGGAGGGAACCGAAAAAUCGAUUCGUCCCAAAAGCGUUUGGGAGUCCACAAUCCCGAGAAUGAGCUUAUGCAUGAAUAUUACCCCAUUGCAAAUUCUGCGAUGGUGUAAAGAGGGUAGGUUCAGUAUUUUUAGCCUAGAUAGGUAUGGUGGAAGGAGUCUGUUAGAGUCCCAGUUUUGAUUUCUAAGGGGAAUAUUAAAAAUUGUUUUUGAACGGAUUCAAUAAUUGUGGACUCCACACACAAGAACAAUACUCCAAUAUCGGGCGAACCAACGAGACGUACAGUGUUUUAGUUAUAUGCGGAUCGUCAAACUCUUUUGACCAACGCUUAAUAAACGCAAGAACUCCCUUAGCUUUGUUAACAGUUGAAGCAAUAAGUCAUUUGAUGUGGAGAUUCGAUCCAGAACAUGGUGUCCUAGAGAAUAGGAGACAAAAUGUGGUGCACGGCGGUAAAAAGUCAUAAGUUUUCACUUGGAAUGGUUCAAGAAAAGUAGGUUAUUCGAACACCAAAUGCUUAAUUCAUUAAGGACAAGUUGUAGGCGAGUAUGCAAGUACCAGUCGGAAAAGGAAAAACAAAUUUGAACGUCAUCAGCAUACAGUAAAGAAACUGAGUGCAAAAUAACUUGGGCAGGUCGUUCACAAACAAAUUGAAAAGAAGCGGACCUAAAUGGCUUCCUUUGGGAACUCCAGAGGUUACUUUCACAACAUUCGACAAAGCAUUGGCAAAAAGGCACGUUUUGUGCGAUUCGACAGGUACGAUGAUAACCAAUUUACAAGAUUUGUGGGAAAACCUAAUAAAGAGAGUUUAUGGAUCAGCAAGGUAUGAUUAACAGAAUCAAAAGCUUUACUGAAAUCUGUAAAAAUGACGUCGGUCUGCAAGCCACUUUGAAAUCCUCGGUUGAUUAGAGACGAGACUUCUAAAAGGAUAGUAGAUGUUGAUCGAUGUCUAAAAAAACCAUGUUGUGACGGGCAUAUAAUGCUAGAACAUGCGUGUUGCAAUUGACGAGUAACAAGGUGCUCGAGCAACUUCGGAAUGGCAGAUAGUUUAGCCAUACGACGAUAGUUUUCGAUAUUAGAUCUGGACCCUUUCUUGUGAAGAGGAAUAAGGCAGAAUUCAUUACAGAUCAUGGGGAGGCGAGAACGCUCCAGGGAUAAAUUUAAUAAGAAGGUCAAAGGAUGAGAUAGGGCUUGAGCGCAAUAUUUUAAAAUACAGCUCGGAACUUUAUCUAGACCCGCAGAGAAACAGAUGUCAAUUGAUGACAACCCUUCGAAGACCGUACUUUCUUCAAGGAAGGGAAGAAACAUAUUAUUAACAUGAUGGUAUGGAUAAGGGGUGGAGGAGUCAUAAGCAUCAGAGGAGUACGUCGAUUGUAAGAAGGUGGCAAAUAUAUUUGCAAUUCCUUGAUCUGAAGUUUCUGUUUUAGACUGCAACUGAAGGGAAGAAGGGAACGCGUUAAAAAUUCGUUUUGAGUUGACGAACGAAAAUAAUUUUUUGGGAUUACUACGGAAAUUUGUGCCUCAUUGGGAAAGAUAUACGUUAUAACAUUUCUUAUUGACCGUAAGAAAUUGAGAGCGAACGGAAGAAUAUUGUGCAAAGACAGACAAAGAACCAGUUAUCUGGUACUUUUUGUAGAGCCGAGAUUUUUUAUUUUUUAGGCAAGACAGAUACUUGGAAAACCACGGAGGCUUAGAGGAAUACGGUGACUUCAGGGACGUGGGUAUCGAGGGCAGAGUAUAAUGUUUCGUUAAACAUAUUGACAGUAGGCUCUAUAUGUGAUGAGGACUGAAGAAAGGACCAAUCAACUUGCGAGAGAUGUAGACAAAGAUCGAUAAAAUUAGUUUUGUGAAAACACUUUAUACGACUUUUCAUACCCGGUACUCGAAGAGUAAAUAGGGUAUAUUGUCUUUGUAUGAAUAACGGUUGUAUGUAACGCACAGAAGGAAGCGUUUCCGAC
rnacentral:lncRNA from 1 species